ACACAGGAGAUAAAUGACCUGUUAGAAGAGGAACGGUUUGCUUGCUCAGUAAGCGACUGUUUUAAUUUCUGGACUGCCACUUGAUUCUAUUUUACAAAGGAAGAAGAUGAAGAGACCUCAGUGCAAAAUGCUGUUAAUUAUUUGGACCUUCACUGCAUGCAUCACUCUACUGUCUGUUACAACUUGUGUUGUUGGAGAAAGGGCCUUCCUUACAGCAAUGGCUGGUACUGAGGUGCUGCUCCCAUGCUGGCCAACCGCAAACAACACAAAUAUAACGCAGUUUUCCUGGACAAAGGAUGGUCAGGAGAAGCCUGUUGUUGUGUAUAAUCUGAAGUAUGGGCCAUCAGUACCAAGUGAAAACUAUUCUGGACGGAUAGAGAUGAGUAACCAACCUCUCCUGGAUGGAUCAAUCCGAAUAAAAGCUUUGAAAAUACAGGACGAGGGAAAUUACACGUGUGAGAUAACACUAUUCCCUCAGGGAGCAGAGAAAAAAGGAAUCCAUUUAACAAUUCUAGUGAUUCCCACCAACGCAGCAUCAUCGAUACCUGCCGAGGCUGGUCUCUCUGACGCUCCUGUGGCUCAGUGUACCUCGGCCUUCGGGAACCCAGCAGCUGAGAUCACUUGGAAAUCCAGUCUCCCGGGGAAGCACACCAUGAUCCAUGUUGUAAACGACAACAAUAUGGUGACUGUCCACAGCAACUAUACGAUGACCCCUCAUCGUUCAAACAAUGGGCAGACAGUGACAUGUCAGGUCACUCACUCAGCAACAAGCAACAAGACUGAAUAUCCUGUACAGCUGUCCAUCCUCUAUCGACCAGUCGUGACGAUAACGGGGUAUGAUGGGACCUGGAGUGUAAACACACACAAUGUUACUGUUACAUGUAGCACAGAUGCCAAUCCUGAACCAACUAAUUACACCUGGAGAGGGUUACCAGAAGGAGUGGAGAUCAAAAAUGCACAGGUGUUCAUCGGGGAGGAGAGCGCUCUGGAAAAUGGCAACUGGACAUGUGAAGCUGCCAACACAGUUGGGAUAGGAGUGGGCCGUGUGGAAGUUGUGCUAGGAUCGAGCAAUUCCUCAGGUCAUACCUAUAUUGUGCUCACCAUUUCAUGUGUGGUCGUGGCACUGCUGAUCGUAGCUCCAGUGGCAUUGCUCAUUGUCCUACAAAUCAAGAAACAACGCAAUUCAGCAGAGGAAGUCUAUAUCAACAUUCCCAAUCAAAGGAAGAAAAUUGAACAGGAAUCCCCAGAGAUCAACGCUACCUACACUAGUGUGAACUUAGGGGAACAGUCGGUGUACAGUGACCUAAAAAGGUGAGAUGCUGGGAAUGUUCUGCCUCAGUAAACACCAGCUUUUGAACAGCGUAUCACUCUCCAUUUGACCCUGUGCUUUCGUUUCAAUUUCAAAAGAAUCCUUAUGAAACUUUUGUCCUCAAAGACACAGACAGGAUUCAAAUCUUUGGCUAUUUAAUGCUGCAGUAUAUUUCUGUGCUUUAAAUCAAGUUUAGGGACACCUCCCUACUGGAGACCUAGGGAACACAGGGAAGGGAAAUCUGCCGUCCUUACCUGAUCUGGGUCUACAUGUGACUCGAGACCCACAGCAAUGUGGUUGGCUCUUAGCUGAUCCCUGGGAAAUCAGGGAUGAGCAAUAAAUGCUGGCCUGGCUCGUGAUGUCCAUAUCCUGUGGAUGAAAAUAAAACUUCACAUGAUGCCUGGCCGUCGAUUUUGAGAAAUGAAAUGGGCCUCAGGAAACUUGCUUUAAAAUGUUCAGAAAGGUUUCUGUGCUGAGAGGCCUCAGGAGAUCCUUAUCAUGAAAGACUUUGAUGCUCGUCUAAUUGUUUGUCACAGAUAUUGUGAAGAUGCUGUGAAUUUAUGAAGUUAUUUUGUCCUGUAUUUUCUGUUUUGAAGAGAGAUUGUAAGGCAGGGGCACAGGACAGUCUACCAGAACCGCACCAGUAAACACCUUCAGAGGCCUUGGGUAUUUUUGUAACAGUCUGAAGGGGAAUGGCCAGCUCUCACAGCUCCUGGGCGUUUAGGGCUAGCUUUAAGCAGAAGCAUUUGGGGUCUCAACACCAUUGAAGGUUCAGCGAGACAUUGACACAAUGCAGAGCUGGGCUGAGAAAUGGCAGAUGGAGUUCAACCUGGAUAAAUGCGAGGUGAUGCAUUUUGGAAGGUCGAACUUAAAUGCUGAAUAUAGGAUUAAAGGCCGGAUUCUCGGCAGCGUGGAGGAACAGCAGGAUCUUGGUGUUCAAGUGCAUUGCUCCCUCAAAGUUGCCACCCGGGUGGAUAAGGUUGGUAAGAAAGCAUAUGGUGUUUUGGCUUUCAUUAACAGGGGGAUUGAGUUUAAGAGCCGCGAGGUUAUGCUGCAGCUCUACAAAACCCUGGUGGGACCACACUUGGAAUAUUGUACCCUAUUAUAGGAAAGAUGUGGAGGCUUUGGAAAGGGUGCAAAGGAGGUUUGCCAGGAUGCUGCCUGGACUGGAGGUCUUGUCUUACGAGGAGAGGUUGACUGAGCUCGGACUUUUCUCUUUGGAGAGAAGGAGGAAGAGAGGUGACCUGAUCGAGGUGUACAAGGUAAUGAGGCAUGGAUAGAGUUGAUAGCCAGAGACUUUUCCCCAGGGCAGGAUUGACUGCCACGAGGGGUCAUAGUUUUAAGGUGUUAGGAGGAAGUUAUAGAGGAGGCGUCAGAGGGAGAUUCGUCACCCAGAGAGUUGUGAGCGCAUGGAAUAGUUUACCAGUGGUAGUCGUCGAAGCAGAGCCAUUUGUGACAUUUAAGCGACUGCUAGACAUGCACAUGGACAGCAGCGAAUUGAGGGGAAUGUAGGUUAGGUUAUUUUAUUUUUGGAUUAGGAUUAUUCCACGGCACAAAAUCGUGGACCGAAGAGCCUGUACUGUGCUGUAUUUUUCUAUUUUCUAUGUUCUAUGUUUCUACUCUCUCUGAAUUUUCUCUUGAAGUAUUUUUCCUCCUGGAUUGGAGAACUACAUGUGAGAAUCUGUGUCUGAAUUUUCCCUUUGUUUGCCAAGGGUUAUAGAUGUUACUAUUUUGGAAGAAUGAAUUAGUGAUAGCUACUGUAUCUAUUAUUCAGUUAAGUUUUCAAAAGGAGUUAAGUUAUUCUAAGUUCUUCUUUCUUUUGUUGUAUUUUUAAUUGAUGUCAUAGUUAUAAGGUAACAGCACGGGAACAGACCCUUCAGUCUAACCAAUCCAUGCUGAAUGUAAUCCCAAACUAAACCAGUCUCACCUGCCCUGCUCCGGGCCCAUAUCCCUCCAAACCUUUCUUAUUCAUGUCCCUAUCCAAAUGUCUUUUAAACGCUGUAACUGUACCCACACCCACCACUUCCUCAGGAAGCUCAUACCCUCUGUGUAACCACCCUCAGUAUGAAAACAUUGUCUCCUAUACCUUUUCUAAAUCUCUCUCUUCUCACCUUAAUAAUGUGACCCCGAGUCGUGAAAUCUCCCACCCUCAAGAAAAGUCAGCUACCACUAACCAUAUCUACACCCCUCAUUGUUUUAUAAUCUUCUAUCAGAUCGCCUCUCUACCUCCUACAGCUCCAGCGAAAGGAGACCCAGCCUAUCCAGCAUUUCUUGUGUUUGAAUAAAUUGAGAUUUGCUUUAAUGUUGAGUAGUUCGACAGGUCGCUUAGCAUCUGGAACACACACUUCACUAUUGUCCUUAAAAACGAGAAAAAGCUUGGAUCUAAGCUACCUUCUUAAAAUAUUUUGAGGGGUUCUGGACUGGUCCAUAACAGUGUAAAAGUAUUUUUAAUGCUUCAGUAAUGGUGUCAUGUUCUACUAAAUAACUUGCUUGUUCGUAUGUAAUUUGACAUAUUUUUGUUAACCGAAGAUAUUUUGAAAUGGAUAGACCUAUAGGGAUUGCUAAGUGAAUAGUGCACACCCAUACCCCCAAAAUAAGAAGUACAAUAAUGAUCAGAAGAUCUACAUUAAAAAUGAAGAACUGCAGAUGUUGGAAAUCGGGAACUAAAACAGAAACCACGAGGAACAUUCAGCAGAGACAAGUAACAUCUGUGCAGAGAAAUCAGAAUUCGGGUCUGGUGAUGCUUCAGGAUGGAUUCGAGCUUGGAAAAGCUAUACGCUGAAAGAUUAGAAUGGAAUCUGUCAGAGAGGAGGAGAACUUCUUUUCUUAAUUAAAUUAUAUCUUCUUAAGUCUCACGUCUGUCGUCUGCAAGGUGUUCGAAAGGAUUCUGAGGGAUGGGAUUUAUGGCCAUCUGGAAGAGCAUGGCUUGAUCAAAUACAGUCAACACGGCUUUGUGAGGGGUAGGUCAUGCCUCACAAACCUUAUCGAGUUCUUUGAGGAUGUGACUAGAAAAGUUGAUGAGGGUCGAGCUGUGAAUGUGGUGUAUAUGGACUUCAGUAAGGCAUUUGAUAAGGUUCCCCAUGGUAGGCUCAUUCAGAAGGUCAGGAGGAAUGGGAUACAGGGGAACUUAGCUGCCUGGAUACAGAAUUGGCUGGCCAGCAGAAGACAGCGAGUGGUAGUAGAAGGAAAAUAUUCUGCCUGGAAGUCAGUGGUGAGUGGGGUUCCACAGGGCUCUGUCCUUGGGCCUCUUCUGUUUGUAAUUUUUAUUAAUGACUUGGAUGAGGGGAUUGAAGGAUGGGUCAGCAAGUUUGCAGAUGACACAAAGGUUGGAGAUGUCGUUGACAGUGUAGAGGGCUGUUGUAGGCUGCAGCGGGACAUUGACAGGAUGCAGAGAUGGGCUGAGAGGUGGCAGAUGGAGUUCAACCUGGAUAAAUGCGAACUGAUGCAUUUUGGAAGGUCAAAUUUGAAAGCUGAGUACAGGAUUAAGGAUAGGAUUCUUGGCAGUGUGGAGGAACAGAGGGAUCUUGGUGUGUAGAUACAUAGAUCCCUUAAAAUGGCCACCCAAGUGGACAGGGUUGUUAAGAAAGCAUAUGGUGUUUUGGCUUUCGUUAACAGGGGGAUUGAGUUUAAGAGGCGUGAGAUCUUGUUGCAGCUCUAUAAAAUUUUGGUUAGACCGCAUUUGGAAUACUGCGUCCAGUUCUGGUCGCCGUAUUAUAGGAAAGAUGUGGAUGCUUUGAAGAGGGUUCAGAGGAGGUUUACCAGGAUGCUGCCUGGACUGGAGGGCUUAUCUUAUGAAGAGAGGUUGACUGAGCUCGGUCUCUAUUCAUUGGAGAAAAGGAGGAGGAGAGGGGACCUCAUUGAGGUAUACAAGAUAAUGAGAGGCAUAGAUAGAGUUGAUAGCCAGAGACUAUUUCCCAGGGCAGAAAUGGCUAGCACGAGGGGUCGUAGUUUUAAGCUGGUUGGAGGAAAGUAUAGAGGGGAUGUCAGAGGCGGGUUCUUUACACAGAGAGUUGUGAGAGCAUGGAAUGCGUUGCCAGCAGCAGUUGCGGAAGCAAGGUCAUUGGGGUCAUUUAAGAGACUGCUGGACAUGCAUAUGGUCACAGAAAUUUGAGGGUGCAUACAUGAGGAUCAAUGGUCGGCAGAACAUUGUUGGCUGAAGGGCCUGUCCAGUGCUGUACUGUUCUAUGUUCUAUGUUCUAUGUUUAAUUAAACCUACAUUUUCUUAGUUAAA